rnacentral:rRNA from 1 species
AUACGUAUGUCGCAAGCGUUAUCCGGAUUUAUUGGGCGUAAAGCGCGUCUAGGCGGCUUAGUAAGUCUGAUGUGAAAAUGCGGGGCUCAACCCCGUAUUGCGUUGGAAACUGCUAAACUAGAGUACUGGAGAGGUAGGCGGAACUACAAGUGUAGAGGUGAAAUUCGUAGAUAUUUGUAGGAAUGCCGAUGGGGAAGCCAGCCUACUGGACAGAUACUGACGCUAAAGCGCGAAAGCGUGGGUAGCAAACAGGAUUAGAUACCCUGGUAGUCCACGCCGUAAACGAUGAUUACUAGGUGUUGGGGGUCGAACCUCAGCGCCCAAGCUAACGCGAUAAGUAAUCCGCCUGGGGAGUACGUACGCAAGGGUGAAACUCAAAGGAAUUGACGGGG